AUGGUGAACAUUCCUAAAACCCACUGGGCUUUCUGUAAGAAGUGUGGCAAGCACCAACCCCACAAAACGGCACAAUACCAGGACUCCCUGUAUGCCCAGGGAAAGCGGCGUUAUGACAAGAAGCAGAGUGACUAUGGUGGGUAGACUAAGGCAAUUUUCUGGAAAACGGGUAAAAUUACAAAGGAGGUUGUGCUGAGGCUUGAGUGUGCUGACCCCAUCUGCAGAUCUAAGAAAAUGCUGGCUGUUAAGACAUGCAAACAUUUUCAACUGGGAGGAGAUAACAAAAGAAAGGGCCAAGUGAUCCAGUUCUAA
rnacentral:lncRNA from 1 species